GCCGGGUUCGAGGCUGCCCUCGGCUGCAGCCCUGGUGGAGGUGCUGAGCUCGCCUCCCUUAUCUGGUCUGAGCUCCCCGCGAGCUGUAGGUUGUUAGGGUACUGGGGUACUACCGAAAACGAAUAGAAAAGUUUAUUCAGCAGUGAAGGACAGUUAUUACUGACCUGUGGUAUGCGCUAUAUGGGCUGUUGGGAGUCCCAUGUGCGGUUUUGCAGAGAUGUUUGCUGUGAAAAUGUUUGUGCUCGUGUACAGAGUGAAACCCAACUAAAAUACACCUUCUUUAUAAGCUGGGGAAAGCUCUGCUUCUAGGAGGUGAUUCAGAAAGUAAAGCAGCCAUAUAUAAAGACAGUAUUUCUCUACCCAGCCCUGUAACAACUACUUGGCUCCUGAGCCGUGAGUGUGGCGGCAGCAGGACAGAGCACUGAGCCCCCCUGCAUUCACCCCCUCUGCCCAGCACACCGGUGGCCCAGUCAGGAGGAAAGCCAAGCCCCUGGGCAUCCUGUGGGCACAGAGCUAUUACCCACAAGGCCAGGCCCUUGCUGCCCACGUCCCACCUGUGCCUGCUGCCCUGCAGGCUGGGCAGGUUUCCUCAGUGAUGAGGCUCCAGACGCUGUCUCCGCCAUCCUCUCCAGAGAGCCAGCCAGCUGGGUGCUCCAUACGCGAUUCUGAGUCGGAACAUCUUCCCAGGACAUAUUUGCUCAGUCUGAAAGCAAAGUGAGAUGAAAUUGGAGAUUGAAAAUGCUAGAUGAAACCAGAGAUUUUUCUUUCUACUGCAGGGAUCCUAACAAGAUAGGUUUCAGCAGUCCUGAUGAAUCACCUAAGUGUGUGAGUGCUUAGGUGAGCACAACUAGAAACCUCUGGCCUGUUGUGAAAGCUGGAGUGCUACAUACUAUGUUUCUACUUUCAGAUUAAGUCUCCCUCUCCCUUACAGUGACUUAUCUUUGUAACUAAGUUAUAUCCUUGUGAAUGGAGAAAUAACAUUUAAUAAGAAAACCAAAAUUAAGUCCUUUACUUCAUACUAAAUUAAGUUUUUUUUAAGGCCAACUAAAAUGCAUUCACUUGGAAGACUAAAGUAACUGUAUCUUCUGCAAUCAAUUCUUAAAAUAUUUGCUGCAUAUUCACAUGACAGACUGCCUGUUCAUGAAAUAAUAUGCUCUUUAAGCAUCUGUAGCUAUAUAAUUAAAUCAUGAGCUUUAUUUGGUAAAAGGUAGUACCUAUUCUGGUUUGUUGUUUUUUUUUAUCUGUUCAGUUUUAAAAUAGCUGGUAUUCAAGAAGGAGCUGGGAAAUUAAAAACAAGUCUAUUAAGUGUUUCCUUAAAGAUUCCCCAUAAAAUUGGAAUAAUUGGAGAAUAUUAAGUCCUAGUUUUUAAUAAGUUAUGGGUUAUUUCUGCUCAAACUUACUGCCCAUUGGCCUAGACCUAAGUACAUGAAAGAGUGGUGGUUUUUU